rnacentral:sRNA from 1 species
AUUGAUUGCUUUUAAAAGUUACUUAUAAGUGAUCAAUUAUUCUGUGUUGUAACUUGAUUGAAAAAAGUGAGCUCAAUUCAAUUGCAGCAUUUCCCCCCCACAUUCCAAUGUUUUGUUAAUUUACAAGAUCCUUGACAUUUUUCUCAAUUUUAUUGGAUGUUUGCAUAUAUACAUGUACAUUUGUGUUGAAGUAUUGCCAGUUUCCCGUUGUACAACUUUGUUACCUUUUUUCGACUUGGGCGCCCAACAAAUUGCUAUGUUGAAAGCUUUGAUAUGAACACAAACUGUUAUGUCUAUUUUUAACUUCAUUGGAUAGAAUAGGAACAUUAUAAUUAAAUUUCAACACAACUUUUAAUUUACAAAAAAGAUGCACAUGCAUGCAUCAAUAUAGUCAUUUUUCUAUAAUAUGUAAUGUUUGUGUAAUUAACAAAUAGAACAAAAUGUUAUACCUCAUAAAAUCUAGAAUUAG